AUGGCUGGGGAAAGUAGAAGACAAGCCAGAAGAAAUAACAGAGCAGAGACAAAAAUCACAGCACAGAGAGAAGUGGACAGAGAAUGGGAUAGUAAAGAGCAGAGAACAGACAAUGUGCACAAAGACAAACUGAUCAGCAGAAAACGGAAAGUAAAACAAAGAAUAACUGACCUACAGAAGAAGAUCAAGAUAGGAUUCAGCAGGCAGAAAGAAGAAAAACCAGCGAACUGUCAGGAGAGAGAAAAGUUUCCAACGGCAAUAAAAGAGAAGGUAGAAACCGUAUACACCCUCUCUCACAGUGCCAGUGACCUGGGAAGGGAGUGGAAGGAGAAGAAGCAAAAUGAAGGGGUUCUUAAGGAAAAUAAUAAUAAUAAUAAUGAAGCCCUGGGGCUCCCUAACCCUGCACUGCCAGGUGCAGGGGAGCUCCGCGGCCCUGGCGGACCCCACUGCCGGGAGCCACCAGCCCGCGGCAGGCCGCCACCUGCCCGCCCCGGCUUCGCGCUUCGCCCCGCGGCGCCUGGCAGCGCCGGGCGCCGCUGCCUGCCGGCGGCACCGCCACCUCACCAUGGGGACACGGCAGGCACGUCCCGGGGCGGGUGGGGGGGUCUUAGCAGCACCGGCACCGCCGGGGGACACCGCAACGCUCACCCAGGCGCCUUCCCGCCCUCCCCGGCGAGCGCUCGCCUCCGCCGCGGAGGCGGGCAGCGGCAACUUCCCGGCGGGGACAAAGCCCUCCCCGAAGGCAGCAGCCGCCCGCCCUUCGCUUCGCCCCGGGGAGGGCGAAGGAAGAGGCCGAUGCGGCCACACUCCGCGGCGGCAGCCCAGCGAAGCCCGUCGCGGGCUCGCGGCGUCGGGGGCAGAGGCCGCCUCCCCCCCCGCCCGGCGACAGCGACAACGCGGGGCCAGGCGGCCCGCGCCGCCGGAGGGGAGGCGGGAGGAGCCCGCCAGGAGCGGGCGAUGCGAUGCGAUGCGAUGCGAUACUCACCUCACUGCUCCGCGCCGCCGGCAGGCCCCGGGCGCCGCGAGCCAGGCACCCAGCACUCGCCCACUUCCUCCUGCGGCCCCGCUAUUUCAGCGCCAGGCCCCGCCCCCGCCCCGCUCUUCGAAACGGAGAGGGAAAGCGCGGCGCGCCGGUCAGCGGCCAACGGACGU
rnacentral:lncRNA from 1 species